GUGAGGAAUAUUGGUCAAUGGGCGGGAGCCUGAACCAGCCAAGUCGCGUGAAGGAAGAAGGAUCUAUGGUUCGUAAACUUCUUUUGCAGGGGAAUAAAGUGCAGGACGUGUCCUGUUUUGUAUGUACCCUGAGAAUAAGGAUCGGCUAACUCCGUGCCAGCAGCCGCGGUAAUACGGAGGAUCCGAGCGUUAUCCGGAUUUAUUGGGUUUAAAGGGUGCGUAGGUGGUUUGAUAAGUCAGCGGUGAAAGUUUGCAGCUUAACUGUAAAAAUGCCGUUGAAAUUGUCGGACUUGAGUGUAAAUGAGGUAGGCGGAAUGCGUGGUGUAGCGGUGAAAUGCAUAGAUAUCACGCAGAACUCCGAUUGCGAAGGCAGCUUACUAAGCUACAACUGACACUGAAGCACGAAAGCGUGGGGAUCAAACAGGAUUAGAAACCCCUGUAGUCC
rnacentral:rRNA from 1 species